CAGAAAAUAGUUUAUAAUAAAAUAUUAAUUUUGGGGAUUAAUGAUAAAGGGAUUCUUUUUUUCUGA
rnacentral:tRNA from 1 species